rnacentral:rRNA from 1 species
CACGAACGCUGGCGGCAGGCUUAACACAUGCAAGUCGAGCGCCCCGCAAGGGGAGCGGCAGACGGGUGAGUAACGCGUGGGAAUCUACCCAUCUCUACGGAAUAACGCAUGGAAACGUGUGCUAAUACCGUAUACGUCCUUCGGGAGAAAGAUUUAUCGGAGAUGGAUGAGCCCGCGUUGGAUUAGCUAGUUUGUGGGGUAAAGGCCUACCAAGGCGACGAUCCAUAGCUGGUCUGAGAGGAUGAUCAGCCACACUGGGACUGCGACACGGCCCAGACUCCUACGGGAGGCAGCAGUGGGGAAUAUUGGACAAUGGGCGCAAGCCUGAUCCAGCCAUGCCGCGUGAGUGAUGAAGGCCCUAGGGUUGUAAAGCUCUUUCACCGGUGAAGAUAAUGACGGUAACCGGAGAAGAAGCCCCGGCUAACUUCGUGCCAGCCGCCGCGGUAAAAC